UGGGCUUUGAACUGAUUUCUAAAUAAAUAACUUAAUAUUUACAUAUAAACCGGAGGUUGCAUGUUUGAACGCAAAAGGUCCACAGUCAUUAGGCAUGUAUACCUGUCUGUCUGAGUGAAGAUGUUUGUUGUUUUGGUCUAGGUUGCCUUUGGGAUGCGGACGGACCACCUCCUCUUUCGCAGUGGUCACGUGAUUGGUCCGCUUGAGAUGCCCAUGAUAACUGCGCUGAAUCACUGCUUUAAUUCGCGUUGGAUGCGGCCAGACGUGGCAUCAAUAUGAGGAACAAUCCCUUCCCUUUUGGGCUUUUUUUGUUCGCGUAUGGUGUGUUCGGUGCUGAUGGAGUGAAGUCAGUGUCAGUGUCAGUGAUGGUGGGAGAUUCUGUCACUCUACACACUGGUGAUACUAAAACACAGAGAGUUCUGGAACUGGUGUGGAAGAUUCAAGGCGAAAAUAAAUUCAUGGCAGAGAUUGAUAAAGAAAUAAAUAAACUAUCAGUACCAGGGAAUGAGGAGGAACCAUUCAGAGGCAGACUGAAGCUGGACAAUCUGACAGAUUCUUUGACCAUCACAAACCUCAAAACAGCAGACUCUAGAGUUUAUGAACUACAGAUCAAGACCACAAAAGAGACCAAAUCCAAGAUAUUCAAUGUUGAUGUCAGUGGUGAGUAACUCAAUGUGAUUAUUAACUAUCUGUGAACAAUAUCCUUUGAUAUAAUCACAAGAAUCCUUUAUGAAUAAAUUUCAGUAUGCUAAUAAACACUCAAGAUGUUUAGAGCAUUCGUAAAGGAUGUAAAUAUUUUCAGAGGAACUGUAACAGUGACCCUUUAGUAGAGUUAACACAAUUAUUUUAUUUUCCCCUAAAAAUAUUUUUAAUUUAAUGGAUAUAGAACAUAGAAUGAUUAAAUACAGAAAACUCCCCAAAUGCAUUUAAUGAAAAAAUAUUUUGCCAGAAUGCAAUAUCAAGGAAGAAUGAUCUUGCAGAAUGGUGUAGUUACUGCAUCUACCAGCAGGGUCUAACUGAUCCAUGCUGAAGAGCGAAACCGUGGUAUUAACCUUUCAUCAUAAUUUUGGUGUGCAGGAUGAAGGAGUUGCUUUACUCUAGAGAUGGCAUAUUCAUUUUCAAAUAUAGUUAAAAAGAUUUUACACAAUAUAUGAAGAGAGAUUAUAUCAAGCAAGCAUCAUCUUCAUAAAAAAGAUAAAUAAUAAUAAUAAUAAAAAAGUAAUACAUAAAAACACAAACAUAUAUGGAAUAUAUAUCCAUUAUUUGCCGCCCAUUAUAUGUGCCCCGGGAGUUUUCAUUGUUACUGCUGUUUACAUCCCACCAUAAACUGACACUGGCUUGGCUUUGUCUGAGCUUCACGAUGCGCUCCCAGCAACAACAUCAACAAACAUCCUGACGCUGCUAUUAU
rnacentral:lncRNA from 1 species